AGAGUUUGAUCCUGGCUCAGAAUGAACGCUGGCGGCGUGCUUAACACAUGCAAGUCGGAUGUGCCGCAAGGUGCAUGGCAGACGGGUGAGUAACGCGUAGGGAACCUACCUCUUUGUGGGGAAUAACGUUCCGAAAGGAAUGGUAAUACCGCAUGAGAUCCACGACUGGGAUGUUGUGGAUGAAAGCCGGGGAUCGAAAGACCUGGCGCAAGGAGAGGGUCCUGCGUCUGAUUAGCUAGUUGGUGGGGUAACGGCCUACCAAGGCGACGAUCAGUAGCCGGCCUGAGAGGGUGAUCGGCCACACUGGAACUGAGACACGGUCCAGACUCCUACGGGAGGCAGCAGUGGGGAAUAUUGCACAAUGGGCGCAAGCCUGAUGCAGCAACGCCGCGUGAGUGAAGAAGGCCUUCGGGUCGUAAAGCUCUGUCCUGUGGGACGAAACAAAUGACGGUACCACAGGAGGAAGCCCCGGCUAACUACGUGCCAGCAGCCGCGGUAAUACGUAGGGGGCAAGCGUUAUCCGGAAUCACUGGGCGUAAAGGGUGCGUAGGUGGCCUAUCAAGUCAGAAGUGAAAGGCAGUGGCUUAACCACUGUAAGCUUUUGAAACUGAUGGGCUUGAGUGCAGGAGAGGUAAGUGGAAUUCCUAGUGUAGCGGUGAAAUGCGUAGAUAUUAGGAGGAACACCAGUGGCGAAGGCGACUUACUGGACUGUUACUGACACUGAGGCACGAAAGCGUGGGGAGCAAACAGGAUUAGAUACCCUGGUAGUCC
rnacentral:rRNA from 1 species